UGCAGAAGAUCUUAAGACACAAAAUACAUCCCUGUAGAUGAGAACAUUAAGAGAUUUGACCCGUUUUGAUCCAAUAGCUUGAUGGAUAGCAGGGACAACAAAUAUGUUUGACCCGUUUUGAUCCAAUAGUUUGAUGGUUCGUUUCAAAUUCAACCCCUUUGAUUCAACAAACAGGUCAAUACUCUACCCCAAAACAAAUAUUAACCCCCACUCUUACUAUUUUCAUUUAGGAUGAACCAACAACCCCCGUUCUUACUAUUUUCAUUUAGGAUGAACCAACAAAGAGAAGGAAAACGUUCACAAUCAAUGAAAUGUUCUGCUCAUAACAUUUAGAAAACAGGUUCGAGAUUGAUUUUACCCGUAAAUCAAUCACCGAAGCCAGUGGCGGAGACAAAAUCUCCGGGAAAAUGGUUUAAUUUUUUU
rnacentral:lncRNA from 1 species